rnacentral:rRNA from 1 species
UCCUACGGGAGGCAGCAGUAGGGAAUCCUCCGCAAUGGACGAAAGUCUGACGGAGCAACGCCGCGUGAGUGAUGAAGGCUUUCGGGUCGUAAAACUCUGUUGUUAGGGAAGAACAAGUGCUAGUUGAAUAAGCUGGCACCUUGACGGUACCUAACCAGAAAGCCACGGCUAACUACGUGCCAGCAGCCGCGGUAAUACGUAGGUGGCAAGCGUUAUCCGGAAUUAUUGGGCGUAAAGCGCGCGCAGGUGGUUUCUUAAGUCUGAUGUGAAAGCCCACGGCUCAACCGUGGAGGGUCAUUGGAAACUGGGAGACUUGAGUGCAGAAGAGGAAAGUGGAAUUCCAUGUGUAGCGGUGAAAUGCGUAGAGAUAUGGAGGAACACCAGUGGCGAAGGCGACUUUCUGGUCUGUAACUGACACUGAGGCGCGAAAGCGUGGGGAGCAAACAGGAUUAGAUACCCUGGUAGUCCACGCCGUAAACGAUGAGUGCUAAGUGUUAGAGGGUUUCCGCCCUUUAGUGCUGAAGUUAACGCAUUAAGCACUCCGCCUGGGGAGUACGACCGCAAGGUUGAAACUCAAAGGAAUUGACGG